rnacentral:rRNA from 1 species
UAGGGAAUCUUCCGCAAUGGACGCAAGUCUGACGGAGCAACGCCGCGUGAGUGAAGAAGGAUUUCGGUUCGUAAAACUCUGUUGUUAGAGAAGAACAGCGCAUAGAGUAACUGUUAUGCGUGUGACGGUAUCUAACCAGAAAGCCACGGCUAACUACGUGCCAGCAGCCGCGGUAAUACGUAGGUGGCAAGCGUUGUCCGGAUUUAUUGGGCGUAAAGCGAGCGCAGGCGGUCAAUUAAGUCUGAUGUGAAAGCCCCGGCUCAACCGGGGAGGGUCAUUGGAAACUGGUUGACUUGAGUGCAGAAGAGGAGAGUGGAAUUCCAUGUGUAGCGGUGAAAUGCGUAGAUAUAUGGAGGAACACCGGUGGCGAAAGCGGCUCUCUGGUCUGUAACUGACGCUGAGGCUCGAAAGCGUGGGGAGCGAACAGG